AUUGAACGCUGGCGGCAGGCCUAACACAUGCAAGUCGAACGGUAACAGGAUAGCUUGCUAUCGCUGACGAGUGGCGGACGGGUGAGUAAUACUUAGGGAUCUGCCCCGGGGUGGGGGACAACCAUUGGAAACGAUGGCUAAUACCGCAUAACGUCUACGGACCAAAGAGGGCUUCGGCUCUCGCCCUGGGAUGAACCUAGCGAGAUUAGCUUGUUGGUGAGGUAAAGGCUCACCAAGGCGACGAUCUCUAGCUGUUCUGAGAGGAAGAUCAGCCACACUGGGACUGAGACACGGCCCAGACUCCUACGGGAGGCAGCAGUGGGGAAUAUUGCACAAUGGGGGAACCCUGAUGCAGCCAUGCCGCGUGUGUGAAGAAGGCCUUCGGGUUGUAAAGCACUUUCAGUGAGGAGGAAGGUUGGUGGUUAAUACCCGAUCAGCUGUGACGUUACUCACAGAAGAAGCACCGGCUAACUC
rnacentral:rRNA from 1 species